UACGAAGGGGGGCUAGCGUUGCUCGGAAUCACUGGGCGUAAAGCGCACGUAGGCGGAUCUUUAAGUCAGGGGUGAAAAUCCUGGAGCUCAACUCCAGAACUGCCUUUGAUACUGGGGAUCUCGAGUCCGGGAGAGGUGAGUGGAACUGCGAGUGUAGAGGUGAAAUUCGUAGAUAUUCACAAGAACACCAGUGGCGAAGGCGGCUCACUGGCCCGGUACUGACGCUGAGGUGCGAAAGCGUGGGGAGCAAACAGG
rnacentral:rRNA from 1 species